UGGGCAUCGCCUCGGCCAGGCUGGCGGAGCUGACGGCGGCCCUGGAGCGGCUGCGGGAGGAAGGUGGGGAGAAGGAGCGGGCGGUGGCGGCGCUGACGCUGCAGCUGCAGAAGAUGGAGGCCUCGCGUGCCCAGGAGCCAUCAGUGGAAGAGGUGCAGGGGCUGCGCGCAGAGGUGGAGCUGCUCCACCAGACGCUGCAGGACGUCACCCAGGUGCCCCCAGCCCUCCCCUGCGCCCCCACUGCUGCCACCCCCUCCGUGCCUCAGUUUCCCCUCCCGUGGUGGUGCCACAGCAGGGUGCUCACAGUCCCUCACAGGCGGUGCUGGCCGAUGACCCCGGGUCCCCGACGGAGCCUCCCAGGCUCCCCUGCCGCAGCCUCUCACCCGCUGCGGCCGCGGCCACGCUGGGGGCUGUGCACGGAGCCCUGCGGCGCCGGCACUUCCAGCUGCAGGUGAGCGAGGAGGAGGAGGAGGAAGAUGGACGUGGGGGAAGACGGAU
rnacentral:lncRNA from 1 species